rnacentral:rRNA from 1 species
AGCUUGCUAGAUUGAUGGCGAGUGGCGAACGGGUGAGUAAUACAUCGGAACGUGCCCUGUAGUGGGGGAUAACUAGUCGAAAGAUUAGCUAAUACCGCAUACGACUGAGGGUGAAAGUGGGGGACCGCAAGGCCUCAGCUAUAGGAGCGGCCGAUGUCUGAUAGCUAGUUGGUGGGGUAAAGGCCCACCAAGGCGACGAUCAGUAGCUGGUCUGAGAGGACGAUCAGCCACACUGGGACUGAGACACGGCCCAGACUCCUACGGGAGGCAGCAGUGGGGAAUUUUGGACAAUGGGCGAAAGCCUGAUCCAGCAAUGCCGCGUGUGUGAAGAAGGCCUUCGGGUUGUAAAGCACUUUUGUCCGGAAAGAAAUGGCUCUGGUUAAUACCUGGGGUCGAUGACGGUACCGGAAGAAUAAGGACCGGCUAACUACGUGCCAGCAGCCGCGGUAAUACGUAGGGUCCAAGCGUUAAUCGGAAUUACUGGGCGUAAAGCGUGCGCAGGCGGUUGUGCAAGACCGAUGUGAAAUCCCCGAGCUUAACUUGGGAAUUGCAUUGGUGACUGCACGGCUAGAGUGUGUCAGAGGGGGGUAGAAUUCCACGUGUAGCAGUGAAAUGCGUAGAGAUGUGGAGGAAUACCGAUGGCGAAGGCAGCCCCCUGGGAUAACACUGACGCUCAUGCACGAAAGCGUGGGGAGCAAACAGGAUUAGAUACCCUGGUAGUCCACGCCCUAAACGAUGUCAACUAGUUGUUGGGGAUUCAUUUCCUUAGUAACGUAGCUAACGCGUGAAGUUGACCGCCUGGGGAGUACGGUCGCAAGAUUAAAACUCAAAGGAAUUGACGGGGACCCGCACAAGCGGUGGAUGAUGUGGAUUAAUUCGAUGCAACGCGAAAAACCUUACCUACCCUUGACAUGCCACUAACGAAGCAGAGAUGCAUUAGGUGCUCGAAAGAGAAAGUGGACACAGGUGC